UACGAGGGGGGCGAGCGUUGUUCGGAAUUAUUGGGCGUAAAGGGUGCGUAGGCGGCUUUGCAAGUCCCAUGUGAAAUCCCACGGCUCAACCGUGGAAGUGCAUGGGAAACUGCAGAGCUUGAGUACUUAAGAGGAUCGCGGAAUUCCCGGUGUAGAGGUGAAAUUCGUAGAUAUCGGGAGGAACACCAGUGGCGAAGGCGGCGAUCUGGGAAGAUACUGACGCUGAGGUGCGAAAGCGUGGGGAGCAAAGCAGG
rnacentral:rRNA from 1 species